rnacentral:rRNA from 1 species
GACGAACGCUGGCGGCGUGCUUAACACAUGCAAGUCGAACGGUGAUCCACUUUCGGGUGGUGAUCAGUGGCGAACGGGUGAGUAACACGUGAGCAACCUGCCCCUGGCUCUGGGACAACCACUGGAAACGGUGGCUAAUACCGGAUACGACCCGCCAUCGCAUGGUGUGUGGGUGGAAAGUUUUUCGGCUGGGGAUGGGCUCGCGGCCUAUCAGCUUGUUGGUGGGGUGAUGGCCUACCAAGGCGACGACGGGUAGCCGGCCUGAGAGGGCGACCGGCCACACUGGGACUGAGACACGGCCCAGACUCCUACGGGAGGCAGCAGUGGGGAAUAUUGCACAAUGGGCGAAAGCCUGAUGCAGCGACGCCGCGUGAGGGAUGACGGCCUUCGGGUUGUAAACCUCUUUCAGCUCCGAAGAAGCGCAAGUGACGGUAGGAGCAGAAGAAGCACCGGCUAACUACGUGCCAGCCGCCGCCGUAA